UAUACCUUCUAAAAUAAAACCUGUCUUGUGUCACAAGUCGAGUGACUCAUUAAAUGAAAGCAAGUAGUUUAUUUCAAGUACUUCUUUUCUUUCUCGCAAUGGCUUGCCUGCAAUAUGGUAGGAAUACUCUCCGGCAACAGCUGAAGAAUGUGAAAACCUCAGCAGCUAUGUUCCACAAGUGCGAAGGUGGAGAAGUACAUUUAAACCAUCCACUAUUUUACACCGCCCAAGGUGUUCGAUACAGAAAACUACAUGUCACUGUCACUACUACAAUGUCGUACCAAUGGCCUCCAGAUUCUCGAUAUCACGUCGUUUACUAUUUGAUUGAUUCAUUUUGAACUGAACCUUUUGGAAUUGCGACUUGAUUCUUGUUCAAUAUUGCGUUUCGAUAAGCAGAGCAUAUACACGCUUGGAAAAGCAGAGCAAACUGUGAGGCAUCAGCGAAAGAUUUAUCAAUGUGAAAAAGUUGAAGAGGUUAAAAUAGUUCCAGCUCCCAAGAAAGAUGACAUGUUGGUGCUAAGUAAGCAUACGAAGAAAUCGUUGGCGAAAGUUGACAGUGGUAGAAUCAUUUCCAGUGACGAACCUAUUGGAAAUGAUGUAACCGUGGCCGAGUGGCAGCUACAAUGCAACUUCAUUUUUUAAUAAUGGGCGGCACAUCACCCAUCGAGCUUUAUACUGUGCACCAGUGGCCCUCGGGGAUUUCUCAUUAUGGCGUUCGUGGCUAGACAAGUUGAUGCAUUCCUGUCAGAAGCUGAUGCAGGUAGCUAGGGUCAUCAACAAGAGCUUCGUUGAUACCAAUUGCGAUUCCAGUCAGCUUUGGUGAGCCUUCUUAUACUCCGGAGGACUUCACCUUUGUCUUACAGUUAGUAGUUUUGAGAUGUCGUGGUUCUUACCCCGAUAACCUUCUAUAAUAAUAGAGGCUUCAUUGAUAGAGAGUAGAGUUUGAGAAGUCUGUUAUAUUUAUCUUGUUAAAUGUUUUAAAGACUUGAGUUGUUUAUA